CGGAGAGACCCCCGCGCUCCCGGAGCGGGGCGCGGCGUGCGCGAACUCUUCGGGAGUCGCUGCUCAUUUCCUCUCCUUCUCAUGCUCCUUGUAGUUAUAUCUGGGUUGUGCUGUAUCACGCACGCCACGUGCCAUUGCAGCCUGCGUGUGGUUUAUAAAUAGCUCCGUGUACACUGGGGACACGCUCGCUCAGGGGUGUUUCACUGUCUGGGGCGCGCUGCGGCCUCUCCCGGCCACAUUUAAGGAUCUGGAGCAUUAAAUAACAUUAAGAAUUAACAGAUGCCAAAGGAGUCGCAUUCCUUUUUCCGUGGGAAGGAGCUGACAGUGCACACAGGAACCAGUUACAGGCAGUCACUGAUUCGUUUGCUGCUUGAGUG
rnacentral:lncRNA from 1 species